rnacentral:rRNA from 1 species
AUAACAUUUGGAAACAGAUGCUAAUACCGCAUAAACCUAACACCGCAUGGUGAGGGUUGAAAGAUGGUUUCGGCUAUCACUUUAGGAUGGACCCGCGGUGCAUUAGUUAGUUGGUGAGGUAAAGGCUCACCAAGACCGUGAUGCAUAGCCGACCUGAGAGGUAAUCGGCCACACUGGGACUGAGACACGGCCCAGACUCCUACGGGAGGCAGCAGUAGGGAAUCUUCCACAAUGGACGAAAGUCUGAUGGAGCAACGCCGCGUGAGUGAAGAAGGUUUCGGAUCGUAAAACUCUGUUGUUGGAGAAGAAUGUAUCUGAUAGUAACUGAUCAGGUAGUGACGGUAUCCAACCAGAAAGCCACGGCUAACUACGUG